rnacentral:tRNA from 1 species
GCACACGUAGCUCAACGGCAGAGCACUUGAUUUACAUUCAAGGGGUUCCUGGUCCGAAUCCAGGCGUGUGCA